UUGUUCCUACGGGAGGCAGCAGUGGGGAAUAUUGCACAAUGGGGGAAACCCUGAUGCAGCAACGCCGCGUGAGUGAAGAAGGUUUUCGGAUUGUAAAGCUCUGUUAGCAGGGAAGAGGAAGGACGGUACCUGCAGAGGAAGCCACGGCUAACUACGUGCCAGCAGCCGCGGUAAUACGUAGGUGGCGAGCGUUAUCCGGAAUGAUUGGGCGUAAAGGGUGCGUAGGCGGCCUGCUAAGUCUGGAGUGAAAGGUACCGGCUCAACCGGUACAGGCUCUGGAAACUGGCGGGCUAGAG
rnacentral:rRNA from 1 species